rnacentral:rRNA from 1 species
UACGUAGGGGGCUAGCGUUGUCCGGAAUCAUUGGGCGUAAAGAGCGUGUAGGCGGCCUUAUAAGUCGGCUGUGAAAGUCAAGGGCUCAACCCUUGAAUGCCGGCCGAUACUGUGAGGCUAGAGUCCGGAAGAGGCGAGUGGAAUUCCUGGUGUAGCGGUGAAAUGCGCAGAUAUCAGGAGGAACACCGAUGGCGAAGGCAGCUCGCUGGGACGGUACUGACGCUGAGACGCGAAAGCGUGGGGAGCAAACAGG